rnacentral:tRNA from 1 species
AUUUCGCUCGUGCGGUUCUCGCUCGUGCGGUUCUCGCUCGUGCGGUUCUCGGCCGUGCGGUUCUCGGCCGUGCGGUUC